UGCAGUCGAAUGAUGCUAUGGGGGUACUCUGUANCGNAUNNCGCGAAGGGGCAGUAAUACAUGGAUAACCUACCCUGGGGAUGGGCAUAGCCGGUCUAACGGCCGGGUAAUACCCAGAGAUUCGGCGAGGAGGCAUCUUUUUGCCGGGAAAUGAAUUUCGCUUCGGGAGGGGUCCAUGAGCUAUCAGCUAGUUGGUGGGGUAGCGGCCUACCAAGGCUAAGACGGCUAGCGGGUGUGAGAGCACGACCCGCGCCACUGGCACUGAGACACUGGCCAGACACCUACGGGUGGCUGCAGUCGAGGAUCUUCGUCAAUGGGCGAAAGCCUGAACGAGCGAUGCCGCGUGAGCGAUGAAGGCCUUCGGGUUGUAAAGCUCAAAAGUGAAGAGAAAGGGAAACUUGAUCGAUUCACAGUAAGCUCGGGCUAAGUUCGUGCCAGCAGCCGCGGUAAGACGAACCGAGCGAACGUUGUUCGGAAUCACUGGGCUUAAAGGGCGCGUANGCGGGCACUCAAGUCUGUGGUGAAAUCCUCCAGCUCACUGGAGACUGCCAUGGAUACUGGGUGUCUCGAGGGUGGUANGGGUAUGCNGAACUAUCGGUGGAGCGGUGAAAUGCGUUGAUAUCGAUAGGAACUCCNGUGGCGAAGCGGCAUACUGGACCCAUCUGACCUGAAGC
rnacentral:rRNA from 1 species